rnacentral:misc_RNA from 1 species
AUGAUUUUUUAUUAUUUGUGAAGUACUACUAAUUAACAAACAAAAUUUUAUAGUCAAAAAAAAUAAAUCA